CCCCGGCGCCACAAGUGGGAACCACGUUUAUUGGGUCUAAAGCAUCCGUAGCCGGCUUGUUAAAUGCCCUGUGAAAUCGUUCCGCUCAACGGGACGGCGCGCAGGGUAGACUGGCGAGCUUGGGACCAGGAAAGGCAAGCGGUAUUCUGUGGGGAGCGGUAAAAUGCUAUAAUCCACAGAGGACCACCGAUGGCGAAGGCAGCUUGCUUGAAUGGAUUCGACGGUGAGGGAUGAAAGCCAGGGGAGCGAUCCGG
rnacentral:rRNA from 1 species